ensembl:misc_RNA 7SK 7SK RNA
AGAUGUGAGGGCAAUCUGGCUGCGAAAUCUAUCACCCCAUUGAUAGCCAGGAUUGAUUUGGCUGAUCUGGCUGGUUAGGCGGGUGUCCCCUUCCUCCCUCACUGCUCCAUGUGCGUCCCUCCCAAAGCUGCCUGCUAGGUCGAAGAGGAUAGCCUUUCCUGAAUAGAGACAGACCAGUCUUUGGUCGAGGCUGCGCUCCCCUGCUAGAACCUCCAAACAAGCUCUCAAGGUCCAACUACCAUGUAAAGUUACACACUAUGAAAAAUGGUUCUAUCAGAUCUCACUGUUGCUUAUUU